rnacentral:rRNA from 2 species
UUGAUCCUGGCUCAGGACGAACGCUGGCGAGCGUGCCUAAUACAUGCAAGUCGAGCGGAGACUUGAAUAGAAGCAUGCUUCUCAAGAUCGUUAGCGGCGGACGGGUGAGUAACACGUGGGCAACCUGCCCUGUAAGACGGGGAUAACUCCGGGAAACCGAAGCUAAUACCGGAUAACAUCAUAUCCUUCGCAUGAGGAGAUGAUUAGAAAGAUGGCUUUCAGCUACCACUCACAGGAUGGGCCCGCGGCGCAUUAGCUAGUUGGUGAGGUAACGGCUCACCAAGGCAACGAUGCAUAGCCGACCUGAGAGGGUGAUCGGCCACACAGGGACUGAGACACGGCCCAGACUCCUACGGGAGGCAGCAGUAGGGAAUCUUCCGCAAUGGACGAAAGUCUGACGGAGCAACGCCGCGUGAGUGAUGAAGGCUUUCGGAUCGUAAAACUCUGUUGUUAGGGAAGAACAAGUAUCUGUUAGAAUAACUGCACGUACCUUGACGGUACCUAACCAGAAAGCCACGGCUAACUACGUGCCAGCAGCCGCGGUAAUACGUAGGUGGCAAGCGUUAUCCGGAAUUAUUGGGCGUAAAGCGCGCGCAGGCGGUUCCUUAAGUCUGAUGUGAAAGCCCACGGCUCAACCGUGGAGGGUCAUUGGAAACUGGGGAACUUGAGUGCAGAAGAGAAAAGCGGAAUUCCACGUGUAGCGGUGAAAUGCGUAGAGAUGUGGAGGAACACCAGUGGCGAAGGCGGCUCUCUGGUCUGUAACUGACGCUGAGGCGCGAAAGUCGUCGGGGUUCAACAGGAUUAGAUACCC